CUCUCAAAUCACAAUAUGCAAUAUCAAAUCAGAAGUUUGAAUAAAUUCUCUCAUCCUAUCAACAUGUACAAUCACACACACUUUUUGAGGUCUUUUGGGUUGUAACGGGGCUUUGGUUUAGGUAGGGUAUGAAAUUGGAACAACGGUUUUUGGGUUUUUUGGUUCAGAGUACAUGAAAUCAUUCUCUCACUACGUUUCUUUCCUAUUAUUCCUGUAGGGUUAUGCAAUCCUCUUUUCCUUUUAUCUAUAGUGAAUGUAGCAUCUUUCAAAAGCUGUUCUUUUAUUGUUUUUCGCUUUUCUCUUUCUUUCUUUUCAUGUUGUUGUUGUUUUUUUUCUUUCUUUUUUUCUCUUUUUUUUUUUUUUCUUUUUUUUCUUUUUUUUUCUUUUAUACGACAUUCACUUACUAUUCACGUACUGCAAAGCUACCCCAAACUUAAAGGUUGCUAUUCCAACAGCAACCCCAAACUUAGAUAGAAACGUAGAGAUGAAAUCAAUUCUCACAUACUCUGAACAGGGUAGGAUAGGUACAAGGUCAUGGCUUUAGAAAAAAACGGGUAUAUCAAAAAUAAAUGAUUAACAGGCUCAACAGGG
rnacentral:lncRNA from 1 species